UUCAUCUGAUGCUCCUGCUCAGUGAGGGU
rnacentral:piRNA from 1 species